GAGCGUAGCUCAGCUGGUUAGAGCACCUGCCUUACAAGCAGGGGGUCACUGGUUCGAGUCCAGUCGUUCCC
rnacentral:tRNA from 1 species